rnacentral:rRNA from 1 species
CGCGAACGUUGGCGGCGUGCCUAACACAUGCAAGUCGUGGGGCAGCAGGCUACUAUCUUCGGGUAGUAGUGCUGGCGACCGGCAAACGGGUGAGUAACACGUAGCUUACCUACCCAUAGGUUGGGGAUAACAUCCCGAAAGGGGUGCUAAUACCCAAUAAUGAGGAGACUCCAAAGCCCUUAUGGGUGCCUAUGGAUGGGGCUGCGUCCCAUCAGCUAGUUGGUGAGGUAAUGGCUCACCAAGGCUACGACGGGUAACCGGUCUGAGAGGAUGACCGGUCACAGUGGGACUGAGACACGGCCCGCACCCCUACGGGGGGCAGCAGUGGGGAAUAUUGGGCAAUGGCCGAAAGGCUGACCCAGCAACGCCGCGUGGUGGAUGAAGCCCUUCGGGGUGUAAACACCUUUUCUGGGGGAAGAUAAUGACGGUACCCCAGGAAUAAGGGACGGCUAACUACGUGCCAGCAGCCGCGGUAAUACGUAG